rnacentral:tRNA from 1 species
ACCUUCGUAGUGUAAUGGUCAGCACAUUUGACGCGUAUUUUGAGAGGUCCGAGGUUCGAGUCCCGGCGAGAGCA